UACGUAGGUGGCAAGCGUUGUCCGGAGUUAUUGGGCGUAAAGCGCGCGCAGGCGGUGCGGUAAGUCUCUGGUGAAAGCGCUCGGCUUAACUGGGCGAGGGCCGGGGAGACUGCCACGCUGGAGGGGAGCAGAGGCGAGUGGAAUUCCGGGUGUAGUGGUGAAAUGCGUAGAGAUCCGGAGGAACACCAGUGGCGAAGGCGGCUUCCUGGUCCAGCACCGACAUUCAGGCACGAAAGCGUGGGGAGCAAACAGG
rnacentral:rRNA from 1 species